rnacentral:rRNA from 1 species
UACGUAGGGGGCUAGCGUUGUCCGGAUUUAUUGGGCGUAAAGAGCGUGUAGGCGGCCAGGUAGGUCCGUUGUGAAAACUCGAGGCUCAACCUCGAGACGUCGGCGGAAACCCUCUGGCUAGAGUCCGGAAGAGGAGAGUGGAAUUCCUGGUGUAGCGGUGAAAUGCGCAGAUAUCGGGAAGAACACCCGUGGCGAAGGCGGCUCACUCGGCCCGAUACUGACGCUGAGGCACGAAAGCGUGGGGAGCAAACAGG